GUCUGUGCAUUGCACGAUCAAGAGAAAUCCCAAAAACGUGAUAAAUGAACAUUUCCUGCCAUGAUUCCUGUACUUCAUAGUGUGGGGGCAUGAACAUGAAUGCCUCGUUGAUCCACAAGAAGUUCCUGGGAUGGGCUUUCAUAUAACUCAACCAGGGUCGUCUGUUGCAACAUCAUUAAUCGAUGGGGAAGCAAAGCUUAAGCAUGUCCUUCUUUUAGAAAUUAAGGGGAAUCAAUAUCGUCCAACUAAAAUACCUUUGAAGUCAAUGAGGCCUUUUAAAUAUGUUGAGGUAAGGAGUUCUGUGGAAUUUGGUUUUCAUAUUUUUUAGUAUUUUCAUACCAUGUCAUGCUUUCU